rnacentral:rRNA from 1 species
UCCAGACUCCUACGGGAGGCAGCAGUGGGGAAUAUUGCACAAUGGGGGGAACCCUGAUGCAGCGACGCCGCGUGAGUGAAGAAGUAUUUCGGUAUGUAAAGCUCUAUCAGCAGGGAAGAUAAUGACGGUACCUGACUAAGAAGCCCCGGCUAACUACGUGCCAGCAGCCGCGGUAAUACGUAGGGGGCAAGCGUUAUCCGGAUUUACUGGGUGUAAAGGGUGCGUAGGUGGCAGGGCAAGUCAGAUGUGAAAGCCCGGGGCCCAACCCCGGUACUGCAUUUGAAACUGUCCGGCUGGAGUGCAGGAGAGGUAAGCGGAAUUCCUAGUGUAGCGGUGAAAUGCGUAGAUAUUAGGAGGAACCCCAGUGGCGAAGGCGGCUUACUGGACUGUAACCGACACUGAGGCACGAAAGCGUGGGGAGCAAACAGGAUUAGAUACCCCCGUAA